rnacentral:rRNA from 1 species
CCUACGGGUGGCAGCAGUGGGGAAUAUUGGGCAAUGGGCGCAAGCCUGACCCAGCAACGCCGCGUGAAGGAAGAAGGCUUUCGGGUUGUAAACUUCUUUUGUCAGGGAAGAGUAGAAGACGGUACCUGACGAAUAAGCCACGGCUAACUACGUGCCAGCAGCCGCGGUAAUACGUAGGUGGCAAGCGUUGUCCGGAUUUACUGGGUGUAAAGGGUGUGUAGCCGGGUUGACAAGUCAGAUGUGAAAGCAUGCGGCUUAACAGCAGAACUGCAUUUGAAACUGUUGAUCUUGAGUACUGGAGAGGAAGAUGGAAUUCCUAGUGUAGCGGUGAAAUGCGUAGAUAUUAGGAGGAACACCAGUGGCGAAGGCGGUCUGCUGGACAGCAACUGACGGUGAGGCGCGAAAGCGUGGGGAGCAAACAGGAUUAGAUACCCGGGUAGUC